rnacentral:rRNA from 1 species
GACGAACGCUGGCGGCGUGCUUAACACAUGCAAGUCGAACGGAAAGGCCCUGAUUUUGUGGGGUGCUCGAGUGGCGAACGGGGGAGUAACACGUGUGUAACAUGCCCCUGUCUUUGGGAUAAAUUUAGGAAACAGGGGAUAUAGUCGGAUAGGAGCUCUUGCAGCAUGGUGGGGGUUGGAAAAAUUCGGCGGUUGGGGAUGGUCUAGCGGGUUAUCCGCUGGAUGGUGGGGUAGUGGAUGACAAAGGCUUUGAAGGGUAGCCCGCCUGGGAGGGUGACCGGCCACAAUGGUACUGAGGUACGGCCCAGACUCCUACGGGAGGCAGCAGUGGGGAAUAUUACGCAAUGGGCGGAAGCCUGUUGCGGCGACGCCGCGUGCGGGAUAACGGCCUUCGGGUUGUAAACCGCUUUCUCCUGUGACGAAGCGUGAGUGACGGUAAUGGGUAAAGAAGCACCGGCUAACUACGUG